AUUUCUAUCGCAAUGGGGAUCCGUAUUACGAGCCCAGGCGUUUGGUGAUUAACUCGAAGCGGGUUUCGACCUUCGACACGCUUCUGCGGGAGGUGACUGGCGGCGUGAGGGCUCCGUUCGGCGCGGUGCGGAGCAUCUACACGCCCAAAGCCGGACACCGGGUCCAGUCCCUGGAGCACCUGCGGAGCGGAGAGCAGUACGUGGCUGCUGGACGAGAGAGAUUCAAGAAGAUAGAUUAUUUACAGAUAGGAACCAGGAAGAAAAAACCGCUUCAGCCCAAUGGAGUGCUGAAACCUGUUCCUCAGAGUCGUGUGAUUGUAUCUGCCAGAUUCCUGAAGCCCAUCAAAGAACCCUGUGC